rnacentral:lncRNA from 1 species
GUUAGAUUAAAGAUGGACUUAAUUAGAGAAUUGACUAAAUCUAAUCAAUUGUUGUCUUAGAUUAGGUCAAGAAUUCUCUAGAUCAAUUACAAUAGUUGUAGUUGGUCAAGUCCAUGUCUUUAACGAGAACCAAAUGGACUUGAUUCUUGGCUAAGCAGUCUAGCACGAACUGUUAGGUUGAUCUAAUCGAAACUAAUUAAACCAGUUGGUGUCUAAGGUAAAUCAGACUGGUGGUUUUUAAUUGACAGCCCGCUUACCUGGCCA